UACAGAGGGUGCAAGCGUUAAUCGGAUUUACUGGGCGUAAAGCGUGCGUAGGCGGUUCGCUAAGUCGGUUGUGAAAUCCCUGGGCUUAACCUGGGAACUGCAGUCGAUACUGGCGGACUAGAGUACGGUAGAGGGUGGCGGAACUCCGGGUGUAGCGGUGAAAUGCGUAGAUAUCGGGAGGAACACCUAUGGCGAAAGCAGCUGUCUGGGCCUUUACUGACGCUAAGACUCGAAAGCUGGGGGAGCAAACAGG
rnacentral:rRNA from 1 species